rnacentral:rRNA from 1 species
AUUGAACGCUGGCGGCAGGCCUAACACAUGCAAGUCGAGCGGAUGAAGGGAGCUUGCUCCUGGAUUCAGCGGCGGACGGGUGAGUAAUGCCUAGGAAUCUGCCUGGUAGUGGGGGAUAACGUCCGGAAACGGGCGCUAAUACCGCAUACGUCCUGAGGGAGAAAGUGGGGGAUCUUCGGACCUCACGCUAUCAGAUGAGCCUAGGUCGGAUUAGCUAGUUGGUGGGGUAAAGGCCUACCAGGCGACGAUCCGUAACUGGUCUGAGAGGAUGAUCAGUCACACUGGAACUGAGACACGGUCCAGACUCCUACGGGGGGCAGCAGUGGGGAAUAUUGGACAAUGGGCGAAAGCCUGAUCCAGCCAUGCCGCGUGUGCGAAGAAGGUCUUCGGAUUGUAAAGCACUUUAAGUUGGGAGGAAGGGCAGUAAGUUAAUACCUUGCUGUUUUGACGUUACCAACAGAAUAAGCACCGGCUAACUUCGUG